rnacentral:rRNA from 1 species
UACGGAGGGGGCUAGCGUUGUUCGGAAUUACUGGGCGUAAAGAGCACGUAGGCGGCUUUGUAAGUUAGAGGUGAAAGCCCAGGGCUUAACCCUGGAAUUGCCUUUAAGACUGCAUCGCUAGAAUUGUGGAGAGGUGAGUGGAAUUCCGAGUGUAGAGGUGAAAUUCGUAGAUAUUCGGAAGAACACCAGUGGCGAAGGCGACUCACUGGACACAUAUUGACGCUGAGGUGCGAAAGCGUGGGGAGCAAACAGG